AGAGUUGUGGCUCAGUGGUAGAGCACUUGCCUGGCAUGUAUGAGGCCCUGGGUUUGAUCUUCAGCACCACAA
rfam:Ictidomys tridecemlineatus contig035686, whole genome shotgun sequence.